GCCAGGUGUGGUGGCGCACACCUGUAAUCCCAGCAGCUUGGGAGGCUGAGGCAGGAGGAUCACGAGAUCAAAGCCAGACUCAGCAAUUUAGUGAGGUGCUAAGCAACUCAGUGAGACCCUGUCUCUA
rnacentral:sRNA from 1 species